AACGAACGCUGGCGGCAUGCCUAACACAUGCAAGUCGAACGAGACCUUCGGGUCUAGUGGCGCACGGGUGCGUAACGCGUGGGAACCUGCCCUUAGGUUCGGAAUAACUCCCCGAAAGGGGUGCUAAUACCGGAUAAUGUCUUCGGACCAAAGAUUUAUCGCCUUUGGAUGGGCCCGCGUUGGAUUAGCUAGUUGGUAGGGUAAAAGCCUACCAAGGCGACGAUCCAUAGCUGGUCUGAGAGGAUGAUCAACCACACUGGGACUGAGACACGGCCCAGACACAGGCGGGAGGGAGCGGGGGAGAAUAGGGGAGAGGGGGCGAAGGCCAGGUGCAGGGAUGCGGGGAGGGUGGAGAGGGCCUUAGGGUUUGAAAAAGUGUUUAAGCGGGAUGAAAAGAACAGGUGGGGGAAAAUAAGCUGCGGAAAACCCCGUGCCAGCAGAGGGGAGAAUAGGUGGAAGAGCACACGUCCAACC
rnacentral:rRNA from 1 species